AAUAGGAGCAAACACCUACUCCUUUUCCCGUGUUUAAAGUAUACAGCAAUCGAUAUCACUGACGGAGAGACUCGAAGACUGUAAAAGCAGCACGAAGUCUUUCCUCCGUCGCUUCUUUCGUUCUGUCCUCGGACUCGGUGAAUACAUACAUGGGAAGUAGAUCUGGGGAGUCAGCCACUGGAGAUCCACAGAGUCCAUCGGGUUUUGGUGGUAGUAGCAACAGGAAUACCAGUAGCUUCCUGUGCAACAUAUGCUUGGAUCCCGCUCAAGAGCCCGUCGUCACCCUCUGCGGUCACCUUUUCUGCUGGCCCUGCCUGUAUGAAUGGCUUCAUGGCCACUCCAGCUCUUCCGAGUGUCCCGUCUGCAAGGCCACUGUUGAGGAGGUGGAUAUUAUCCCACUGUACAGUGGAGGAAAUAGCCCCGCCGACCCACAGUCCAGGUCGAUCGAUGGUACCGACAUUCCCAGCCGACCGGCAGCUGGUCGGAGGUCGGCAAGAGCCCAACAACCACAACCUGACAUGACCAGUUUCCAUCAGCACAACGUGAACCAUGUCCAUCACCUCAACAACCAUUACCCAUGGCCAGUGGGCUGGAAUCAGGUGGCUGGCAUGAGGCAUGGUGACUUCUCAUUUCCGGCAGCAACUGCCGGUGGUGUUCCUGCUUCUUUGCACCAAGGUUAUGCCAAUGUGUUUCACUGUUGGAAUGCUCAUGGAAUCCACCAAGGUCAUGGCCAGCUUGCUCAUGGGUUCUACCAGGGUCAUGGACAUCAUGCUCAUGGGUUCUGGCGACACCCAAAUCAUAGACAACGGGCUAAUGUCAUCUGGAACAUGCUUUUCUUCUUGUUUGUGGCGCUGGCAAUUGCUAAUACAGUAUCACGGAUGCUUCUGUAAAUGUUUGAUCCUUUCACAUAUGCCCGCAUCAUCAUUAUCGAUUCACAGAAGUCUGAUCAACUGGUGUCCGGUUGAGGUUGAAAUAAGGUUUUGUUUAGGUUAAAUUGCACUAUCUCUUUACCUUUCCCUUAUUUGUGACUCAAUCUUAAAGAUUACAAAAGCAUGUACUUAUUGGAUCCAUUUUUUCUUUUUUGAGGUGAGUAACUUUUUUCUUUAA